rnacentral:lncRNA from 1 species
CAUCAAAGGCUCUGGCGGCACUCCAAAGCUCAGCUACACGGGACGGGACGACCGGCACUUUGUGCCCACAGGUGUCUACAUUGUCAGGACUGUGACUGAGCCGUGGACCAUGGCAUUCAGCAAGGGCUGGAAGAAGAAGUUCUUCUACAACAAGAAAACCGGCGAGUCCUUCUUUACACUCCCCCCAGAGUCCAUUGCCCCAUUCCAGCACAGCCUGCAGACAUCGCAGAAGACAUGAAGAGGGCAAGCCAUGUGCAUGUUCAGCCUGAGUAUAGUGUUUAGACCUGUCGUCUUUGAGAUGUUUUGACUAUAACCCUGCCACAGAACAACUGCAACCAAAGUUUUACAAGUCAGUGCCUUAUCAUCUAUCUGUUUUUGGUUUUGUUUUGGUUUUUUUUUUUUUUUUUUCCUUUUCUGUAGUCUAUUUGAUUUAAAAAAAAAAAAGUUAGCCUAGCAUGGUGGAACAUACUUGUAGUCUCAGUUAUUUACGAUGAUGAGGUGAGAGCAUUAUUUAGAGCCCACAGUUUUGAAAUCAGCCUGGACAACAAUGAAACCUCAACAAUUAAAAAAAAUUUUUAAUU